CCUACGGGUGGCUGCAGUGGGGAAUAUUGGACAAUGGGCGAAAGCCUGAUCCAGCCAUGCCGCGUGUGUGAAGAAGGCCUUCGGGUUGUAAAGCACUUUCAGUGGGGAAGAAAGCCUUGGGGCUAAUACCCUCGAGGAAGGACAUCACCCACAGAAGAAGCACCGGCUAACUCCGUGCCAGCAGCCGCGGUAAUACGGAGGGUGCGAGCGUUAAUCGGAAUUACUGGGCGUAAAGCGCGCGUAGGCGGUCUGAUAAGCCGGUUGUGAAAGCCCCGGGCUCAACCUGGGAACGGCAUCCGGAACUGUCAGGCUAGAGUGCAGGUGAGGAAGGUAGAAUUCCCGGUGUAGCGGUGAAAUGCGUAGAGAUCGGGAGGAAUACCAGUGGCGAAGGCGGCCUUCUGGACUGACACUGACGCUGAGGUGCGAAAGCGUGGGUAGCAAACAGGAUUAGAUACCCUAGUAGUC
rnacentral:rRNA from 1 species